GCCGGCCGCCUCCUCCCUUGGCUCGGCGGCGGCGGCUGCAGAAGAGAAACGGCGACUGGUGCACAGAGCCGCGCGGCCGGCCGCUGCCUCAUUCCAUUGGAAUGUCUGAGGAUUGGAGGAACAUUGUCCAUCGGGUCGCGAUGGGUCAGACUAACAACCACCACCACCUUAGGUUUGAUGAACAGAACAUCAAGAAACUGCUGAAUCAUAAAGGGAUACACUGACUAGAUGGCAUGAACUGCCAAUGUUUUUAAAGCAAAAAGAAGAUGGAAGGAAAGAAAGAAAAAUGAGAAAAAGGAUGAUGUUGCUUUAAGAACCACUAAUUAUAAUCAAUUAAUUAAUUAGAGCCAGUUUGGUCUAGCAUUUAACAUCCCAUGCUAGAAAUUGGGACACCUUGGUUGACUCAACCUUCCAUCCGUCCGAGGUGGGUAAAACAAGGUCCUGGAUUGUUGGGGGCAAUAUACUGACUCUGUAAACCGCUUAGAGAGGGCUACAAAGCAUUGUGAAGCGGUAUAUAAAUCUAUUGCUAUUACUACCUUGGGCCAAUCACUUUCAUGCAGCCCAAUUCAUUUCAGAGCAUUGUUGUCAUCAAAAAUAGGAGGAGUAAGAUAUAUUGGAUAUGUUCCCCACCACAAGUUAUUUAUAACAAUAAUACAGGCACGAUACAAAUAAAUUAGUCAAACAUUUAAAUUCAACCACUAUGUUUUUAGGCUCAUUCAUUGUUCUGUUCACUCGGUAUCUGAAGCAUGUCAUUUCCUAAAUAGUUCUCAUAGCCUGUGCCAUCUUGUUGUGUAUGCUAGCCCAAACACGAACAGUUGUGUGCCAUGUAUAGUAUCUGUUGCCAGGAACAAUUAAUAAAUACGAUA